UGUGUGUGUGUGUCUUUGUCUGGGUUGUGCUCAUUCAACUGUGCGCCUUUGUACAUACAAAUGUCUGCAGCGAGUGUUGUGCGUGUGACUUUAUCCAGUGGAAAUAAUGUAAAUAGCACAAAUCAGACGUUCAACCUUUUCCUUCUUUGUGGAACUGUUCUUUUAAAAGAAAAGAAAAGAUUUUUCAUGCUGCUGCAGAAUUAAUCAAGAAGAGUUCAUUCUUUUUAUGCUACAAGCUCAUUUUUUCCUUCAGUCUGAUCGCCUCUACAACAACUUGAGAAGGAUUGAAAAACAGCGUGAUACCAACGAUUUUCUUUUAAAGUUAUUUGGCAUCUCCUUAAAAAAAAAAAAGGAAUCCGUGCUCGAGAUGUAGCAUAUCCUUUGAAAUGGAUCACAAACAAGAUUUUCAUAUUCUCGCCAAAGAAAGGAAAACAUUUUUAACAGCUCUAUCCCAAUUUCUGUAUUUUUAAAGAUAUCCUCUUGGCCAGAACUGUACAUCUCGCUGAGUUCUGACUGAAUACAUCCAAAAAUGUUGUGCUAGUCAAACGGGAGAUCAAAGUGCUGCGUGAAGCCGCCUGAGAAAAGCUGUGGUUUUAUUUUUAACCCCAGUUGGCACACCGUGAUAAGUUGAUCAAAGAACUUAUUUGCCAAAACAUGGUAUAUUCUUCCGUGCUAGCCUGCAGAAAUCACAGCAUUAAGGUGCGUGAGCUGUGUGAAAGUUAAUCUCAGCCAUUCAGCGAACACAGAGCAGCCUUACAGAGAUAUUUCUGUUCGGCUUUGACACCACAAUCCUCCUCUUCAUCUCCUUUGGAGAUUUCAUGGAUUGUGUAAACAGUUUGCUAGAUUUAAACAUAUGUGCAUAGCCGGAGAGACGUUUUUUUCUGUUAUAGAAACGAGUGAAAACUGGUCAUCGAGACGGGGUGCACCACAGCUGCAAAAAACAGGAGCUUUUUUAAGCUUUGAGUUUAAAAAAAUUUAAUGUUUUUGAAAUUUACUUGGGCAAAACAACACAUCUAAAGUGUCACCUGAGUUUAUAACUAAUUAUAAAACAGAUUUUUUAAUCUUUUUUUUUUAUUUAACAGAUCACUUAAAUGCCAGUAUAAAAUCUGUAGAAAAAAAAAGCUGAAUUAAAUUUGUUUUUAUCUGAAUAAGUAACUAUUUUAAAAUUCAGAUUAGACGAUGCUUGUUAAAUCCUGAAAUAAAUGCAAAAAAAUAAAAUAAAAUAGUGAACAACACCCAAACCAAGGAUAGAGCUGUCAACGUGGUCCAAAAAUAAUGUUUGGUUAUGCAUUAAAAAAAAAAAAAGCUGUGAAAAACAUGGGGGGGAAAAGAUGUUUUUCUCAAAAUGUUUGUCUUGAGCAUCAGGGAAUUAUAUAUUUAACACGUUAGGCAGCCUGAAAGUAGAAAGAAAGAAGUUCUAACUGUGAUGAAGAACCAAGCAAAUGUGAUUUACCACAGUUUACCUUCAGCGGCUCUGAUAUCUGUUCCCUAAUUACAUUAGGCUAAACCAUUCACCGCUCUCUCUUCACACCGGCAGCAGGGUGUGUGAAACCUGCAGCCACGCCAGGCAGCUGUUUCACCUUUGCCACACAGUAUGCAGCAUUGCAGGUGGGUAGCACGCUGUUAACCCCCUCACCGAGGGUUACUGGGUCUAACAAGUCCUCCAGUGGAAAUCCAGCUCUGUUCUGUGCAACUCAGGAAACAAUACACAAUUGAGUUUUCAAUAACUGAAUGUAGAAUAUUAGUCCUAAACCGGAAUAUGUUGAAUGCCUGUGUGAUACUGUCAGUUUAAGCAGCAGAGUCAGUCACACAGCUGAUAAAUGACUCCAUCCCAUCGCACAUCUCGAGGGCUGCCAGGUGUCUUCGCGUUUGGCUGAUGAGUAGACCUCUGCUCGGGGUGAAAGUGGGGGAAGCUAUGUCUGGAAUUCUGUCAGGUCACUGGACUUCCCUGUGUGAUUAACAAUGAACAAAUUACACCUUUAGACGUGUAAUUUGUUCCCCCUUAACACGGCCGACGGAGCUAACAAAAGGGCGGCGAAGGUGUCAGUAAAACAGCGCCUGUACACGCCCACACGCAGUCCUCAGAAGUCUAAUCAGCCAGAAGACAUAUGUCGGAUUCGACAGUACCUCCUGCAGAGCUGCAGAACCUCGACACCAAACCUCUGCGAGACAUCCUCGUGCACAUGUGGCUCAUGCUGAGCUGCAGGAAACAAACCAAUGGCCGACCCACGUUCUCAGAUACUGUUUUCCUCACCUGUACCUGGUAUUUUUACUCCUUGCUGUGAGCUCGACUACAGCAGCAUGGGGAGGGGGGGGAGGCACAGCUGGAAGUGUGUGUGAAAUAUGUGUUUUCAGGUGAAUAGUAUAAAAAUAAUACACAAAGACAAAAUAGCAUCUCUGUAGCUGCUGCCAUGCUACAUGUCCAGCUUCAUCUGAUGCCAUUAAACCUGAUUAUCUGUCAUUGUUAUAUUUAAGCUGAUGUAUUUUAAUGCACUGGACCUCACUAUAUUUCUUCCAGUGAACUUUGUUUAAAACUUACUACAAAUAUGUCACAAAAUGUUAAAGAAGAGUUAAACAAAUGUGAUUUUGUUGGGUGAUUGUCAGUCAUUGCCAUAGCAAUCAGCUCCGUCUCACGUUGCGUAGCAGGUUCACUGCACACUGCACACAUGAGGACGCCCUCAUGUGAGCUGACGUGGCUUGUGUGUUCACCGUGACUUAGCUUAGCACAGAACAUUACAUCAUUUAUGUAUUCAGCCAUUAUUUAUUUAUACAUGCAAGCUCUUGAGCAGUGUUUAAUAUAGCCUCUUAGUCCUCAGUUAGAACUCUCAGAUAUCUUACUUUAUGUAAUUGGUACACACAGUUUGGGCAUCAGAACUCCGGAAUCACGCAAACGAGAACUCUGGUAAGGCGUGGCUUUUAGUAAUUUGAAGAGAAAUGUUGUUUAAUUGACUCUAGCUGGCAUCAAGAAGCUCUUACCCCAAGAAACCCGCAGACCUUCUCAAACUAUUACUGCUGAUGCCACAGAAAUGCAAAUGAGCAGAUGACGUCACUGUGCCCUUGGACAUUUUUACAUUUUAAAGCUGCUAGUUGGCAUUCUGAAUUGAAUCCUACACUUUAAUGAGGGAUGGAGUUAAGAGGGGGAGCUGGUAAAAUGACAUGGGAAAACUUACAUAUGUGAAAAAUGGCAUCCUCCUACAGGUGUUUCUGCUGGGUUUUUUUAAUAUAUAUGCUGGGAGGUUGAAAUAUUGUGACGUCCAGCUAGAUUUAGAACAAACUAACUUGCCUUUUCCCUGAAAAGGGAACGGUUCUGAGGAUAAUAUGAAACUGAGGCAGGUUGCCAGGUCCCUACUGCUUUGUACCUUGUUGAGAUAUUUCCUUGCUGGUUUCUGUUAUUUUCUCAGGUCCUGUUUAAAGUUUAGUGGUGGUUAGACUUAUCUGGGUUCGUUUCCUGUUCCCUGUUUUCUACGUAUCGAGUCUGCAUUUCUGUGUCCUGAGUUCAGUUACUUCCUGUCUUAUUUUGGUAACUCGGUUAAUUUUACGCAUUUCAUGUCGCAUUAAAAAUUUGCUUCAGCUGUUUCUCCCAGGCAUCUCCCCUCUGCUCCCGUCUCCUCUUGUGUAUUUAAACCCUCAGUUUGCUUGUGUUCUUUGUUGUUACCUCCAUCAUACCGCGUGCUCCGUCGGGCUGCGGUUUCCCUGUGACUGAUUUUUUGCAUUCCUGGCGCCAGCUCUGUCUCGUAUUUUGCUUAAAGGACUUCAGCAUUAAAGCUGCUUUUUGAGUUUAAAGUCUCCUGAGUCCUGCAUUUGGGUCCUAAUCCUGCCUGCCGCACACCGCUUCCUGGCACCCACAUCAAAUUUUGUGUUGUUUACUGAAAUUAAUUAGUUUAACCAUUAAAUGAUCUCUGCAAGGUGUAGAAACAACUCUGAACGAUUGUUUUAAAAUGAACAUGUUAACUUCACAGCACAAUAUAAAGAGGGAACCUUCAGGAAAGAAAUGCAUGGGAUGCACUUUUUCCAACAUGCUAGAGCAGCCAGAACCAUUGCAAGAGACUGCAACACAUGCUUCAAGAAAUAAAGAUGAAGAGACAGGGCCUGUUUGUCUUGUGCCUUGCAUGUUGUUAAUUUCUUAUUAGAAGCUGAGUGGUUGCAUAAUAAAAGAAAUGUCCUUGAGUCUGCUCCCGCAAGGUGCUGCUGCCUUUUCCACUCGAAAACGUUUGAAUUGUGUGUGUCUGUGUCGCACACGGUCUUGUGUCGCUUCAAUCUCACAAUAGAGCACGUAAGAAAAUAAAAAACUAAAUAAAUAAGGAGGAGUGUGUAUAUAUUCUGCUACUUAGCAGAUAUUAUUGAUGUCCAGACUAGGCUAAAUAAGAAGUUACUAUUCCAGAUGAAAUCUUUAGCAGAUCUUUGAAGGGGCAGAAAUGCAGAAUUCACUGAAUGUUCUGCAGGAGAGCCAGAGUCUGCAGACAGCGACUGAUGGCACAAAUAGAAAAAAUGUGCCUUUUUAAAUAAUAGUGCAGCAGGUAACAUUACAGGGAAAUGUUAGCAUCGCUGUUGGGCAGAGGAGCCUACUAUUAUAGUAGUAUUAUCCACCCUUGUAGCAUACAAGGAGUUUAUUUCACACUCCCAGCAUGAAGACUUCUUUGGACACUGGCAUAUGCUGACUGAUUUAGUCAGCUGUAACAAGGGUUGGAUAUCAGCUAAACAGAUUUAACCUUAUUAAGUCACAACAUAAGUUAGUAAAAACUAAAACAGCCAGUUUGAGUUCGGUCAGUCUAGGUUGUUUUAUUUGUGCAAAAUAACUUACCGAACAACAAAACAAACAAAAACAAAAAAAAAACAGACGAGAUAAACGAGCGUCUCUGCAGUUCUGAGCACAUUAAUGCUGUGAUUUUAAAAAUCAGUUCAACUGUCAGAAAUGUGCUCCUGUGUUCUCUCACUUGACGAUUGUGAUGUCUCAGUGUAUCACCUCAACACACGCAGACACACACGGUAAUUUCAAAUUUAAGAGAAUUGGGUGUUGUAUGUGUUGUUUGUGUAUGUCUCUGCACACCAGACACUUUUGUGUUGCAAGUUUCGGUUUUAUGGUGCGACAUCGAACUAUAACUUGGCAGAUUUAUUUUAUUAUGAGUCUUAGAAUUACUGAGAAAUUGAAUUUUAAAAAAUGCCUCGACUAAUCCAUAGUGACUUGUGCCAUCAUCGAUCCCUGACUCUGAAAAUCGAUUUCAGAUGGAAAUUAUAGCCAAGUUGGAAAGUUUUGAAACAUAAAAAAUUCGAGUGUCAAAUGGAACUUUUCAAAUUAAAGGCUCGAGAGAUGAAACUCUGAUAUUUUGGUGUUUAGCUUUGAUCGUUUGAGUCACCUGCCACACUAUGAGACAUAGUAAGUAAGUACAUAUUAAGUUGUUUGGUAUCAGAGUUUUAGCAGCCUUGUUAACUGAGGAACAUAUUUUACCUUUUCAGUAACUUUUAUUCUACAAUUUGUUAGGUGAUGAUGAAAAAAGAAAAAGUGAUCACAGAUAAAGAGGAGCUCUGUUUCAUCAGUUAGCCUGCCAGCUACAACAGUCAAUGGUCUGUUUAAGUUUGCAGCUUCAAUAGACUGUACUGGAAGGGUGCAUUUAACACAUAAUGUUAAGAAAGUGAGGCAUGUGUAUGGCACAGUGCACCUCGAGUUCUCUGAACAAGCUUUCAAGCUUUGCCUCAUUUCAUAAAUAAACUUCUGCUGAUGUGAUAGCUUCCCUUGCCGAUGCUAACACGACAGUGGGUAGUCCACUAGUAAUAAUUAACUAUGGCAACCAUGAAGCACUUGACUUAUUCAUCACUCA